GGGUGUUUAGCUCAGUUGGGAGAGCGACGGCCCUACAAGCCGUAGGUCGCAGGUUCAAGCCCUGCAACACCCACCA
rnacentral:tRNA from 1 species